rnacentral:lncRNA from 1 species
GAAUCCCAAAUUGAUCAAGGUAUGAACUUCACUUGAUCAAUGCCAUCCAUUCAUUUUGAGGGAUGAAGUUCAAACUUCAUCAACCCCUAAAUCCAAUGGUAUUGAUCAAAUUAAUGUCCAAUUCAACCAAGAUCAGGGCCAAAUAGAAGUUGAGUCAACACAAAGUCAAUAAAAUAGCUCAAAAAAAUAUUAAAGCAAUUAAACAAUUUAAAAUCAAUUUUAAAUGAAGAA